GAAAUAUGUUGUACAAGUAAAAGCUGCUAACUUAUUACUUUAGCGGUUAAAAUCCGUUUAUAUUUCU
rnacentral:tRNA from 1 species